GACGAACGCUGGCGGCGUGCUUAACACAUGCAAGUCGAGCGGAGCGGCGAACGGGUGAGUAACGCGUGAGUAACUGCCCCCCUCUCGGGGAGAACAGUUGGAAACGGCUGCUAAUACCGGAUAGUGGGGGAUGACUCGCGUCCUAUCAGCUUGUGGUGGGGGUUGUGGCCUACCAAGGCGACAACGUGUAGCCGGCCUGAGAGGGCGACCGUCAACAUUGGGCUGAGAUACGGCCCAAACUCCUACGGGAGGCAGCAGUGGGGAAUAUUGCACAAUGGGGGAAACCCUGAUGCAGCAACGCGCGUGCGGGAUGACGGCCUUCGGGUUGUAAACCGCUUUCAGCCAUGACGCGGUAGUGGCAGAAGAAGCACCGGCUAACUACGUGCCAGCCGCCGCGGUAAUUC
rnacentral:rRNA from 1 species